UACGUAGGGGGCAAGCGUUGUCCGGAAUUAUUGGGCGUAAAGCGCGUGUAGGCGGCCCGGAAAGUCGGAUGUGAAAGCCCUGGGCUUAACCUAGGAAGUGCAUUCGAAACUCCCGUGGCUUGAGUUCUGGAGAGGGAAGCGGAAUUCUCGGUGUAGAGGUGAAAUUCGUAGAUAUCGAGAGGAACACCGGUGGCGAAGGCGGCUUCCUGGACAGUGACUGACGCUGAGACGCGAAAGCGUGGGGAGCAAACAGG
rnacentral:rRNA from 1 species